AGCAGCCGCGGUAAUUCCAGCUCCAAUAGCGUAUAUUAAAGUUGUUGCAGUUAAAAGCUCGUAGUUGAAUUUCGGGAUUGACGUGAUGGUCGUGCCUUACGGGGUAUGAACUGUUGCUGUUGAUUUCUCACCUUCUGGAGAAACUUGAUGUCCUUAAUUGGGUGUCUUGCGGAUCCAGGACCUUUACCUUGAAAAAUUGAGUGUUUAAAGCAGGCAUUUUGCUCGAAUACAUUAGCAUGGAAUAAUAGAAUAGGACGGCAUGGUUCUAUUUUGUUGGUUUCUAGGAUCACCGUAAUGAUUAAUAGGGAUAGUUGGGGGCAUUAGUAUUCAAUUGUCAGAGGUGAAAUUCUUGGAUUUAUUGAAGACUAACUACUGCGAAAGCAUUUGCCAAGGAUGUUUUCAUUAAUCAAAGAACGAAAGUUAGGGGAUCGAAGACGAUCAGAUACCGUCGUAGUCUUAACCAUAAACUAUAGACCGACUAGGAAUCAGACGAUGUUUAAUUUUUAAUGUACUCGUUUGG
rnacentral:misc_RNA from 1 species